CACCCCUAGCGGACUUCGAGAAUUAAUGAAUUCCUCCUGCUGCUGCUAAGUCGCUUCAGUCGUGUCCAACUCUGUGCGACCGCAUUGACAGACGGCAGCCCACCAGGCUCCACCGUCCCUGGGAUUCUCCAGGCAAGAACACUGGAAUGGGUUGCCAUUUCCUUCUCCAAUGCGUGAAAGUGAAAAGUGAAAGUGAAGUCACUGAGUCGUGUCCAACUCAGCGACCCCAUGGACUGCAGCCCACCAGGCUCCUCCGUCCAUGGGAUUUUCCAGGCAACAGUACUGGAGUGGGGCGCCACUGCCUUCUAAUGAAUUCCUAGCCAGGUGGGAACUCUGCACAUCGUUCGCCUUCAGCCAGCAGACGUUCUCCGAGGCUUGAGGCGUCCUGGGCCCCCCUGGAGGCGGCGCCAGUCUAUAGAAUCAGGACACUCGCUCACAAGCAACUGUGGCACAGAUUAGAGUAGGCAACUGGGGCGUGGAGAGAGGCAAUCAGGUCAGUAAAGCCCAGGUGUGACAUUUGAACCAAAUGUCCAAGGUGCCCCUCCCCUCCAGCACCUCCCUGUCAAUCCCCCUUCCAUGCCCUUCGGCCUGGGGAGAAUGCCCCAUGCUCCUGGGGCUCCUCUAGGUACUACUUACAGUUUAAUCCACCUGAGUGCCCUUUGAGUGACAUGCUGGCUGUGUGACCCUGAGCAAGAGGUCUAGUCUCUCAGUUUCAACUUUAGAGGGUCGUUACUCAUGUAUGAAUGUGAGAGUUGGGGAUGACAGAGGACGAGACGGUUGGAUGGCAUCACCAACUCGAUGGACAUGAGUUUGAGCAAGCUCCGGGAGUUGGUGAUGGACAGGGAAGCCUGGUGUGCUGCAGUCCAUGGGAUCUCAAAGAGUCGGACAUGACUGAGUGACUGAACCGACUAACUGACCGUGAGUUUAAAAUGGGAGACAUAGAAGUAAACACUCAGAAAACUGUGAAAGGACCAGGCUGGUCACAGAAGCCCUGAGGUCCAAGUGUUGACCCCUCCGCACCGCAGUCCUGAUUAAGAGCUGAGUAAAGGUAGCCUAUCCUACCAGGCUCACCACACCGCCAAGAGCC
ensembl:lncRNA